UUUGGUGGCCUUUUGUGAUGUUAAAUGUAUCCAUUUGUCAUUCCGUUGAUUUCUUAAUUCUACAAUAACAACAAACGCCAGCUAAAUUGUGGUCUAUAGAGAAAGGAACGACGUACACCUAGGUUAUAUGAGAAACCAUAUGGGCUAAAGAGCCUCGAUAGGCUAGCCGUGCAUCAUUUAUUCUUUGGUGUCUUCUAGAGAAAAAGAAGGAAUGGCUUCAGGCCAAAGCCUUCGAUAAAAUGACAAUCACUUACUUUUCUAGGAUAUAUAUAGAUUUCUUGAAUUACCUGCAGCAUACUUCUUUUUCAUCUAACAUGUGUCUACCGGGCAAUUUAAACAGAUACUAAUGAUAUAAUUAGGCACAUAUAUGAUUAUGUUUGACUUCACCUAUAAUAGAAUGCAUUUCUCUCACCUUAUUUCUGCAGGACCUUGUUGCUUGCAUUCUCGUGUCUUUUGGCAAGGAGAAAAUUGUCAUUUGGAGGGGAAAAGACAGCUGAAAACAUGCAAGAUAGUAUAUGCAAAAGACACACCCUUCAGUUAUUGAAUCAGAGUUCAGCGGUGAAGAACACUACAAUUUUUUGGUUGAUGGAUUGGUCUCAAUAGAUUGUAAGGGAUUUCCAUGAAGUGGUUAUUCAAAGAAUGGAACCAAUGUUAUGAUUUUGAUUGCUCGGCAAAGUGCAAAGCAACGAAAAGCAUCACGUAUAGCUAUUUUGGAAUGCAAGAUUAGGAUGUGCUCCUCUUUGCUUCUCAUUUCCGCACUCUAAUUUUGACUUGCUAAUAUAUAGGCUUUCUAAAAUGGACGUGCAUAGAUCUGAGAAAGAAGAGAACAGGAAUCUAGCGGACGGAGGUCAUGUAGUAUUCACCAAUAGAUGAUAGAACCACAUAUUUUGGAAAUUCCUUGACAAAAAACACAAGAGCAUCAUUGUUUGGUCAAUUGCAGGUCAAUGUUGGCACUGGCCAGAUCAAGCAGGCAGUGGCGACACUGGACGAGGCGUCCUUGCACUGCAAGGCUGCCCUCGACAUAUGUGAAAAGCUUGGCGAGUUAAUUCUUUUCCUCGAAUCAAACGGAAAUCUGAAAACUAUCAAAGAGAUACCAAAUGAUGAAUAUUUCAUAUGUCGACAGGCAUGGUUGACUAUGAUGUGCUCAUCGUUGACUCCACCACCGUUGGUUUUGAGGAUGGUACCUCAAGAAUAAACAGACCUGUGAGCACGCCGUCCUUGCAUUCACUCUUGGAGUGAAGAAGAGUAUCUGCUGUUUAAUAAGAGCCUUCUGAUCUUCGUACUAUAAAGACUGGAUGUGAUGGCCAUUGUGCUUACUAUCAAAACUGUUACUUGAUGAGAACAUUCUAAGCUAAUUCAAGAUAUGUGCUUCCCCCUUGAUGAAUUAUUAUACAUACAUCAGCAGGAAAAACGUGUUUAAUCUACCAUGAACGUAAAUGGAUGAUAGCAGGAUGUUAAAACUUCAUAUAUGUUGUUGCUCAUCGGAUAUAACUAUAACAUGAUGGUCUCAGUCUAUUUUUCAGAGUUCGAAACCUAUAUUAGUCAUCAUGAGAGUGAGAUUUGUAAAUUCCACCUUGAAUCAGUUAACACUUUCCCUUUGCUGUACAAUUUUUUUGUUCUUAUGAUGGUACCAUGCUUGCUAAUUAUAAGAUGUACAAAUAAACUAUUCCUUUGUUUGUCUAGAAAUAGUUUUUCUACUUUCUAUGCAUUGAAGAGAUAGCAAAUCCCUUGCUACAUGUACUAGGGCGAUGCCCAGGUUCACCAAAGGGUCUUUUCAUGCAUGAAAAAGAGAGUAUAUAUCUUCUAGCUAUUAUCAGGUCGUAGGUGUACACAUGGUUAUUGAGUACCAUGACAUAAUCAUCCAUAGUUUUGUGAAAUUUGAAUUCCCAUCUCUUUAUCGUAUUAUUCAUUUUGCACUCGGCUUUCAUAGAAGAUAAAGGUUUGUUUUGUUUUGUUCAUAUGACCUGUUUUGGCUUUUGAGAUCAGUUGAAAGCUCUUGAUAUUUUGAAGUUUAUACUGCACUUCACAUUAAAAUAUCUGGGCAUAUGUUCCUUUAUUCAGCGAAGUGAACACCUAUACUCAGAUGCUUUUUCCACAGGCAUUCACCGUUUACUUGAUUACUGAUGGAAGGAUCUCCGUGCCAAUUGCUGUUGGGAACCAUUUGCCUCUACACCGAUGACCCUCAUGUUGUAUUAUACCAUGAGCUACCAUGACGUCCUCCACCGACCGCUAUUUGAACCUCAGCGCAUUCUUCUGUAAAAAUGACUCGCAUCAAGUCUUUUGCGCUUUCCUCUUGACUUUCUAAAUGCGGAUCAUAUUAUGUGUUAUUGCUUUCUUUAAGAUAUAUCACUGGCCAUGGAUUUCCUUUUAUCCGUCACCACCUUCAUACCUUUCUAUCCUGGAAUUUAUAUGGUGUACUGAGCUAUAUGGGAUUGGUGUUGAUUAGGUUGGCACGUGGCAUGCAACUAAACUUAAUUGUACCGGACCACUAUUGUUAUAUAAG
rnacentral:rRNA from 1 species